AGUGGCGGACGGGUGAGUAACGCGUGAGAAUCUGCCUUGGGGUCGGGGACAACCACUGGAAACGGUGGCUAAUACCGGAUAAGCCGAUUGGUGAAAGAUUUAUUGCCCGAAGAGGAGCUCGCGUCUGAUUAGCUAGUUGGUGAGGUAAGAGCUCACCAAGGCAGCGAUCAGUAGCUGGUCUGUAGGACGAUCAGCCACACUGGGACUGAGACACGGCCCAGACUCCUACGGGAGGCAGCAGUGGGGAAUUUUCCGCAAUGGGCGAAAGCCUGACGGAGCAAGACCGCGUGAGGGAGGAAGGCUCUUGGGUUGUAAACCUCUUUUCUCAGGGAAGAAGCUCUGACGGUACCUGAGGAAUCAGCCUCGGCUAACUCCGUGCCAGCAGCCGCGGUAAUACGGAGGAGGCAAGCGUUAUCCGGAAUUAUUGGGCGUAAAGCGUCCGCAGGUGGCGAUUCAAGUCUGCUGUCAAAGCACGGGGCUUAACUCCGUAAAGGCAGUGGAAACUGAAUAGCUAGAGUGCCGUAGGGGUAGAGGGAAUUCCCGGUGUAGCGGUGAAAUGCGUAGAGAUCGGGAAGAACAUCGGUGGCGAAAGCGCUCUACUGGACGGCAACUGACACUCAGGGACGAAAGCUAGGGGAGCGAAUGGGAUUAGAUACCCC
rnacentral:rRNA from 1 species